UACGUAGGUGACAAGCGUUGUCCGGAUUUACUGGGCGUAAAGGGCGCGCAGGCGGUCGAUCAAGUCGAGUGUGAAAGCCCCCGGCUCAACUGGGGAGGGUCAUUCGAUACUGAUCGACUCGAAGGCAGGAGAGGGUAGUGGAAUUCCCGGUGUAGUGGUGAAAUGCGUAGAUAUCGGGAGGAACACCAGUGGCGAAGGCGACUACCUGGCCUGUUCUUGACGCUGAGGCGCGAAAGCUAGGGGAGCAAACGGG
rnacentral:rRNA from 1 species